UAACACCUGGGUCUUUAUGGUCAUAAUGGUCACCCACCUUGGUUAUCCAGUUUGGUGAUGACGGUCAACCAGCAACAGGUUUUAAGCCUAACUGGCCUCCAGGGGCCUCUUUGCCUGUAACGCUCGAACCCCGUAAAUCGCCGCUUGCGGCUAUAUUUAUUAUUCUUAUUCUUUUUCUGCCAUAGAAGUGAUUGGGCAGAAGAAACCGUAAGGCCUACAGGGCUGAGACUUGGUCAUAUGGUAGUACUUCUCACCGCUACUCAGAUUCAAAACAUGAGCCCGAUCGGCCUCAAGGGGGCGCUAUGGCGAAGGUCAACGCGUUAGGCCACGUAACUCCCACGCCCUGAUAGCUAGAUCAAAAAUUCUUGCAUUAUAUGAUUCCUUGGUUAAUGGAAAAUCAAAAAGGUCAAUAGAACCACUAAGCUCCGCCCACUUAGAUUUUUUGCUAUUUAGCAUAAUAUGCAAAACCUACUUUUGAGAACUUGUCCUAGGGUCAUUGACCAAUCCUGUCAUAUUUGGUGUCAAACAACUCAACAGAGUCCCAACCUUAAUAAUUAUCAAAAAAAUUGUGAAAUUUGUAAACAAUAUGGCCGCCAUAUGCAAAUUAAUCUUACCGUAGCACACCUAAAUUUACUCUAACAGCUGUAACUUUUGAAUGCUUAAACCGACACUAAUGCCACUUUAGACCUUUGAUGCCAACAUGAUUCUAAGGUAGCCUGUCAAUCUGUGUAGACAUACGCCUCCAGGGGGCGGAGCCAAAGCUAAAAAUCUGUUUCUCAGGAACCGUACAAGCUACGAAGCUCUCCUUUGGCAUGUAUCAUCUAUGGCCUAUGUUCUAAUGUUUGACAGAAGGAAAAUGUGAUAUGCAAAUUUUUGCGAUCGCUAUUAGCCAAUCAGGUUCCAGCAAGCUUUUGACAGGCUAAACAAUCACCAAUCAGGACGAUACUUAUAACCUACAUGUAUCUCAGGGCCUUCUAUCAUCCAUUAAAAUAUGGCGUUGAUUGGCCUCAAGGGGGCGCUAUAGCAGAAAAUCAGUUAUAUCUAAAGGUACAAGUAGCCUAGGCUUGUUAUUCUUUUUUAGUUGCAUACUUUGCUGUAGCCUUUACAACUUUGUAAUUACAUAUGUUUACCAAAAAUGCAAAGAUUUUCAUCAGUGGCCAAAAGACUAAAAAUUGCUCUUUUCGAACUUGUCUUUAAGUCCUUAAUCAAUCAAAACAAAUUUGGUCUUGAUGCAAUCUUGAGACCCUGUAGGUAAAUAAUUAUCAAAAAAAUCUUGACAUUUUAACUAUUUGAGGCCCAUAAACCUUGAUCAAACAUGUACGUGAAAGCCUUUUCAGAGUUAUUUGGCCAAAACUCUGUCAAAGUUUAAAACAUGCCAAAACUGUUGAAGCUACUAAUUAACAAUGACAUUUGAAGUACAUGUGCCAAGUAUGAGCCAAAUAAGUCUUCAGUAGGCUCUACAGUGAAAAAAUAACUAUUUUCAAUUUAUUCUAUUUAUCGCUAUUUUCCAACCUAAAUGGACAGAAGACAGGAACCUUUCACCCUAUCAACACACAAAUUUAUACACAUAUAUAGACUGAUAAUCUGAUCUUGAUUGCAAAUUUUCAGCCAAAUCGGACAUGUUUUGCCUCUACAACGGCUGGAAAACUACAGCAAUUUUGUAGGCCUCAAGCCUGUAUUAUCGCUUUUUUCAAAUCUAAAAGGACAGAAGUCAGGAACCUUUGACCCUAUCGACACAUAAAUUGAUUUACAUAUAUAGACUGAUAUUGUGAUCUUGAUUGCAAAUUUUGAGCCAAAUCAGAUAUUUUUUGCCUCUAAUAUGGCCAAAGAGCAACAGCCAUUUUGUAGACCAUAAGCC